UUUGUCUGUACAGGUAAUGCUCCGCGCUACUGCUGCGGCUAUUGCUUUGUUUCGGCCUUUUUAUCAUUAUGUCCUUAUGCUUAAAGCCUGCGUGUUUUCACUGCAGAGCAGCGACCGAGUGCUCCGUGUGGCGUGCUCCGUUUUUAUUUCAUGGUUCUCUCGAGCGGUGGUAGAUGUCUGCUGUUGUGUGGGUCUCUCUCUCCCUCCCUCUCGCUGUGCAGGUUUGACUUUGAAAACAGGGAAUGCUCAUCAGCUGGCCGAAGUCUACAGGUGGUGAUUGAUGUGACUCCACCACCAGCUGAUUGGGGCCGCUGCUGUUUUGUCUCCACUGCAAAAUGCGGCUUUGUCUGCUUUUUGUCUCGGCUGCUAAAUGCUGCUAAUUGUACAGCUUUCUCUGCUGCUAACUACACAGUCUACUCUCUGCUGCUGAAUGUACAGCUUUGCCUACAGUCUUGUCUGCUGCUGUGUCUCGGCUGCUAACUGCACAGCUUUGUUUUUGCCGCGAACUACACCGCGUGUCGCUACUGCUUGGCACUGUUGUUGCUGGCUUUUGGUUCGCAUGGUGAAUUGCCGACACCAGACUUUUAACUGGUUUAUUCCUUCAAUUUUAGCCUAAUGACUAAUGUUGUAUUUUCUUGUUUUGAUUAAGUAAAUUGUUUUUGUUUACUUAUUGUUUUGGUUCACGCUGAUUUUGUGAAUUAUUUCCUGUUGUGUUAUAGGUUUUGUUGUACAUUUUUGAGAUUAAUUUAGUUGUAACCUCUUGUUUGUCCUUCCCAGUGGCUGCAGGCUAGUGGUGCUGGUGACGUGGGUGGUGGUGGUCUUCCUCCUUGUGUGCAGUGUUUCCUUGGAUUUGGUGAUCUCACUGUCUCUGGGUGAACCCUUUGUCUUUAAUUUAGUUUUAUUAAUUCUCCUUCCCCUUCACCUGCCCUUCCCACCAGUAGGCCUCGGCCCCUGAUAAGGUUUCCAUUUUCUUA